CACAGAGGCACACACAGAGGAAGAUUAUGUCUACACAUUCAGGGACAUGGGUACCCUCAGUGUCCUAAGGUCUAGUGCCCACAGGUUUUUAUUUUCUGAAAAAUGUUUUAUUUAAAGAAUUACAUGAAAAUAGGGUUGGUAGAUUGACUCAGAGGGUGAAGACUCUUGUUAUCAACCUUAUCUCCAUCCCUAGGUCCCGCAUGAUAGGAGAGAACAGAUUCCUACAAGCUGUCCUCUGGCUGCGUGUGCACUGUUACAGAUGCACACACCCCUCUACAGGCACUACACAUAAUAAAUGAAUAAUAUUGAAGGAUGGCAUAAUUUAAUUUAACUUGUAGAGUUGCUCAUCCUUUGACUGGAAACCCCUAAGUUAAGACCUUACACAGCCCUUGUAUGAUUAUUAGAAUAAAACACUUAAUUCCCAUACUAUUAAGGAUACAUUUUAUCCAGGUUUCUCAAUGUAUGAACAGUGUUUUUCUGUUUCAGAUCCCAUAUUGCAUUGCCCUCCCCCUCCAGGUCUCCAUGCUCCCCCUCUCUCUCUGAGACAGUUUCUCUGUGUAACAGCCUUAGCUGUCCUAGAGAUCGCUUUGUAAACCAGGCCGACCUGGAAGUCCCAGAGAUGGGUUUGCCUCUCUCUGUCUCCCAAGUGCUAGGAUUAAAGGCGUGUGCCAUCACAUCCAGCUCUGACCUAUUUAGUUUUCAACAUGCAUUGAGAAUAAUGCUUUCUACAUUCUAGAUACUCUAGGGACGGAGCUAUACCCCCAGAAGAACAGUAUUUAUUUUUAUUUUUGAUAUUAAGUAUAAAGCCAGAGAAUAAUUCUUUGCAAUAAUUUCUGGGAGGGUUUCAAUAGAGAAAAUUUCCAGCUGACAUAGCAAAUAAAAGGCAAAAUACUAUUUAAAUCCAAAGAACAAAAUUACUUUGUUUCUUGUGGUAUUAUUGAAAGUUGAACUUAGGACCUCAUGGAGUGCUACAGAGCUACAUUUCCAGCCCCACAUUUCUGGUUUUUACUCUGAGCCAGAUUCUCAUUAAGUUGCCCUGGCUGCCUUGAACCUUCAAUAAUUCCUUUCUCAGCCUCCUAAACAGGUGGGAAUUACAGGCUUCCAUCAAGAGGUCUGUUUUAGCAGCCCAUAGAUUUAAAAAAAAAAAAAAAAAAAAAGACCAGAAAAAAAAAAAAAAACCAAACAAACAAAACAAAAAACCCCCGGGGAUAAUUAGCACAAGUAACUGCAGUGGAGGAAGGGGCUACAACUAGAAGGGCAGAUGUCUGGAGAGGCCGAACUGAAGACACAGGAAACAUCCCAUGUGCAUGGAAGGUCGUUGGGGGGUAAGCCUGCCAGAGCUCGAAUCACUGAGGGAGCAGGGCACAGCACCCCCACCUAGCACCAGGAUCGAGUUAGGGAACAAAGAGCCAAGCCCUCCCUCAGCUGCGUCCCUCCUGUGCCCCCUUCUGGGAAUGCUCUGUACUGCGCUUGCCUGUGGAGGACAGGAAGGACCAGAUGGACUAGAAUUUCAUUUCACUUUAGGAGAAGUUUCACUUUAGGAGAAAUGCAAGGUCGAGGCAAAACUGACCAGAGACACCUAGGACUUCUGGUGUGCCCCCCAACCGUGUCACCCACCCCGUAUCCUCCUUCCCACCGCUUCUACAGCUUUGGAUUUCCCAGAAUUCCCUGCUUCCCAGGGUCAUAGGCCUCUUUUGCAAGUCCAUCAACUUCCUUCCCCUGUAAUGUGUUGUGAGCUUCCCAAACCAGCCUCUUUCAGAACCUGGUCUUCCAUAUGCAACAGAUCUCGCCAUGUACUUGUUUGUUUAGGUUUUUGUACGUGUAGUGUGCUGUCAAUUCUCAGAAGGAACCUCGAUUGAGAAAACACCCCCAUCCAAUUGGCCUGUAGGAAUCUGUGUUUGGGAGUAUCCAGUGUCUGCGGAAGACUGGGGAACCACAGAAACUGUAGGAGGCAGAAAGAAGCUACCUUCAGUGAUCCAGCCAGGUUCCUGUCCCCCUAACCCCACCCCUGGGGUCUGCCUCACCUCACAGGUUCCAAGGGUCACCUCUAAACCCUAUCUACCUGGAGGGAAGUUCUUGAAACCUGCCAUUCUAUUACACUGUGACUGGUCUGGUCUGGUCUCCAUGGAAGCUGAUGGAAUCCCUGCCCUCCCCUUGGUGGACAGAGCCUGAGGCCCUGGAGCCCAUGUGGCCCCAGGAAUCCCAUUGAUUACACUGGGUGCCCAGUGCCGGGUGCCAGGAGAGCCCACAGGAACACACAGUCGGGUGAAUUGGAGAACCAAUCCUGUUGUCUUCUGCCAGGCAACAUCCCAAAUCCAUCCCCAGGGGAAACCUGCAGGUCCCUUCACCUUGGAGCCUCACAGUUUGGGGUUUUGAUUUGGGAGUUAUGGCUGUGACCGGCUCCCACAGGCUUGGGGGUUGCUUUGCUUUGCAAAUACUAGCCUCAGGAGAGGAAGGCCAGAGGGAAGGAUGGUUAGGUACUGGGGAAGCUUUAAGUUAUAACUGUAGGCAUACAUUUUUUGCAACCUACUUUUUUAUAUAUGUAGUAUAAUGUGGCAUAUUAUUUAUUGUCAAUUAAAAACUCAGUUGAAAAUAUUUACAGGGGCUGGAGAGAUGGCUCAGCAGUUAAGAACACUGACUGCUUUUCUAGAGGUCCUGAGUUCAAGUCCCAGCAACCACAUGGUGGCUCACAAGCAUCUGUAAUGAGAUCUGAUGCCCUCUUCUGGUGUGUCUGAAGACAGCUGCAAUGUACUGAUAUAAAUAAUAAAUAAAUAAAUCUAAAAAAAAAAGAAAA